UACGGUAAUAUGAUUCUCGAUUUC
rnacentral:siRNA from 1 species